GACGAACGCUGGCGGCGUGCCUAAUACAUGCAAGUCGAGCGCAGGAAAUCGACGGAACCCUUCGGGGAGAAGUCGACGGAAUGAGCGGCGGACGGGUGAGUAACACGUAAAGAACCUGCCCUCAGGUCUGGGAUAACCACGAGAAAUCGGGGCUAAUACCGGAUGGGUCAUCGGACCGCAUGGUCCGAGGAUGAAAGGCGCUCCGGCGUCGCCUGGGGAUGGCUUUGCGGUGCAUUAGCUAGUUGGUGGGGUAAUGGCCCACAAAGGCGACGAUGCAUAGCCGACCUGAGAGGGUGAUCGGCCACACUGGGACUGAGACACGGCCCAGACUCCUACGGGAGGCAGCAGUAGGGAAUCUUCCACAAUGGACGAAAGUCUGAUGGAGCAACGCCGCGUGAACGAUGAAGGCCUUCGGGUCGUAAAGUUCUGUUGUAAGGGAAGAACAAGUGCCGCAGGCAAUGGCGGCACCUUGACGGUACCCUGCGAGAAAGCCACGGCUAACUACGUGCCAGCAGCCGCCGUAACAC
rnacentral:rRNA from 1 species